rnacentral:rRNA from 1 species
ACGAUACGUAGCCGACCUGAGAGGGUGAUCGGCCACACUGGAACUGAGACACGGUCCAGACUCCUACGGGAGGCAGCAGUAGGGAAUCUUCCGCAAUGGGCGAAAGCCUGACGGAGCAACGCCGCGUGAGUGAUGAAGGUCUUCGGAUCGUAAAGCUCUGUUGUUAGGGAAGAACAAAUGUGUAAGUAACUGUGCACAUCUUGACGGUACCUAACCAGAAAGCCACGGCUAACUACGUGCCAGCAGCCGCGGUAAUACGUAGGUGGCAAGCGUUAUCCGGAAUUAU